GGUCAGGACCAGGGGCUUUUGCCGAGCGGGGGAUGCUCCAAGGCUCAGCAGCAUGUGUCUGUGCUGUAGGGGGGACGAAGCCAUCCAAGUGAACCCCGAAGGGCCAAGACAGCAACACCCUUCAGAUGUCACCGCACGGCAGAGAUAAACGUAUUGAGAAUAUGCAAAACCUAAGGAAACAGAAGAGGAAAUUUAGUAAACGGUUUACAAGACCUGCUCCUAUUCCAGAACCAGGACUCCUAUGGUCAUAAAGCUGGAAUCUGUACAGAAGAAAUCAUGCCAGACCAUAACAUGCAGAUUUAUAACAUCAAGUGGCAUCUCAUAAUUUGACUUCAUUUGAAAAAUAAAGGCAAUACUCUGUCAUUUCAGCAAAAUAAAUGCAGUGCAACCAUGUAACAUCCAAA